UUUUCUGUUUUUAUGAAGAAAGCAUUUUUAAUCAUUGAAUUAUUAUAUUGUGUCCUUUGCUUAGGGUGUCCCAGUGAUGGCAAUAAGAAACAAAAUGAUAUCAGAAGGACUAGACCCAGAUCUUCUCGAGAGGCCAGAUGCUCCAGUGCCUGAUGGCGAAGGUGAAAAAAAUGCAGAAGAAAGUUCAGAUAGUGAAUCCUCUUUUAGUGACUAAGAUUAACUUUCAUAAUAAUUACAGAUAACACGUGUAGAAGUACUUUACAUUCUAUCAGAAAGAGAGUCUGAACUUGACCUCUUUUUCAAAACAACAUCAAGUGGCCAGAUAUUCACCACCAAGCUUCCUCAGUGCUAAAAUUGUAAUAAUAAUAAAGCAUUUAUAACCUGGCAGUAUAUGUUGUUACCAAUUAAGGGCCCUGAACUGGAAAAUAAAAUAACCUAAAAAAGUUAAAUUAGUGCUACCAAUACUAAGAUGGAAUAUUGCAGAGAUGUAAUGAACAUUUAACAUAAAAUCAAUGUAAGAUUAGUGAUAAAAAUAGACUCAAUGCAAAAAAAAAGUGAAUUUGGCUGAGUGAAUUAUUCAGUUUUUAUGACUUUUAGCAUGAAAGUAUUAUGUGCAUUUGUAUCAAAAGAGUUGCUAAAUUUCUGGCAGAAAGUAAUAUUGAAGUUUUAUGUGACAAAUUAAAGCUUAUAUAUCAUAUAGUA